rnacentral:rRNA from 1 species
AACGAACGCUGGCGGCAGGCCUAACACAUGCAAGUCGAACGCCCUAGCAAUAGGGAGUGGCAGACGGGUGAGUAACGCGUGGGAACGUGCCUUUCGGUUCGGAAUAACUCAGGGAAACUUGAGCUAAUACCGGAUACGCUCUUCGGGGGAAAGAUUUAUUGCCGAAAGAUCGGCCCGCGUCCGAUUAGCUAGUUGGUGAGGUAAAGGCUCACCAAGGCGACGAUCGGUAGCUGGUCUGAGAGGAUGAUCAGCCACACUGGGACUGAGACACGGCCCAGACUCCUACGGGAGGCAGCAGUGGGGAAUAUUGGACAAUGGGCGCAAGCCUGAUCCAGCCAUGCCGCGUGAGUGAUGAAGGCCCUAGGGUUGUAAAGCUCUUUCGCCAGGGACGAUAAUGACGGUACCUGGAUAAGAAGCCCCGGCUAACUUCGUGCCAGCCACCGCGGUAA